rnacentral:rRNA from 1 species
CCUACGGGUGGCAGCAGUGAGGAAUAUUGGUCAAUGGACGAGAGUCUGAACCAGCCAAGUAGCGUGAAGGAUGACUGCCCUAUGGGUUGUAAACUUCUUUUAUAAAGGAAUAAAACGAGGCACGUGUGCCUUUUUGCAUGUACUUUAUGAAUAAGGAUCGGCUAACUCCGUGCCAGCAGCCGCGGUAAUACGGAGGAUCCGAGCGUUAUCCGGAUUUAUUGGGUUUAAAGGGAGCGUAGAUGGGUUGUUAAGUCGGUUGUGAAAGUUUGCGGAUCAACCGUAAAAUUGCAAUUGAUACUGUGAGAUUAGAGUAGUGGAGAGGGAAGCGGAAGUCUGGGUGUAGCGGGGAAAUGCGUAGAUAUCGAGAGGAACUCCUGUGGCGAAGGCGGGUUAAUAGACUUUGACUGACGUUGAGGCAAGAAGGUCAGGGGAUCGAACCGGAGUAGAUACCCAUGUAGUC